rnacentral:tRNA from 1 species
GCGUUUGUGGUUUAGUGGUAAAAUCCAUCGUUGCCAAUAGGCUAGAAUAGCAUCUAGUCAUUGUUGCCAAUAGGCUAGAAUAGCACCUAGUCAUUGUAUCGAUGGGCCCCGGGUUCGAUUCCCGGCGAACGCA